rnacentral:rRNA from 1 species
AACGAACGCUGGCGGCAGGCUUAACACAUGCAAGUCGAGCGCCCCGCAAGGGGAGCGGCAGACGGGUGAGUAACGCGUGGGAAUCUACCCAUCUCUACGGAAUAACGCAUGGAAACGUGUGCUAAUACCGUAUACGUCCUUCGGGAGAAAGAUUUAUCGGAGAUGGAUGAGCCCGCGUUGGAUUAGCUAGUUGGUGGGGUAAAGGCCUAUCAAGGCGACGAUCCAUAGCUGGUCUGAGAGGAUGCUCAGCCACACUGGGACUGGGACACGGCCCAGACUCCUACGGGAGGCAGCAGUGGGGAAUAUUGGACAAUGGGCGCAAGCCUGAUCCAGCCAUGCCGCGUGAGUGAUGAAGGCCCUAGGGUUGUAAAGCUCUUUCACCGGUGAAGAUAAUGACGGUAACCGGAGAAGAAGCCCCGGCUAACUUCGUGCCAGCCGCCGCAGUAACAC